UCUCUCUCUCUCUCAUGGUUUAGGCCUCUGGGCAUUUGGCCAUCUGCUAUAGUACUCAAUUUAAAAGUCUUUUAUAUUGUGAAAUACACAUUUGCUUACUUGCAAAAAAAAUGCAAUCUGUAUAUGGUAUCUAAACUUUUCUAUUUUUUCUUCAUUAAUGGACGUUCAUGUCCUAAAAAAUCUGAUCUCAUAUUGUAAUGUGUAGACAUGUGAAAUGGAUUGCUUGAGCAAUGUAG
rnacentral:lncRNA from 1 species